rnacentral:tRNA from 2 species
GGGGUCGUAGUUCAGCGGGGAGAACGCCUGCUUCGCAUGCAGGAGGGCGCCGGUUCGAAUCCGGUCGACUCCA